rnacentral:misc_RNA from 1 species
AACUUUCAACAACGGAUAACUUGGCUCUCGCAUCGAUGAAGAACGCAGCGAAAUGCGUUAAGUAAUGUGAAUUGCAGAAUUCAGUGAAUCAUCGAAUCUUUGAACGCACCUUGCGCUCCUUGGUACUCCGAGGAGCAUGCCUGUUUGAGUGUCAUUAAUUUCUCAACCUUUAUCAGCUUUGGUUGAUAAAUGGCUUGGAUGUGGGAGUUGCUGGUUUCUCAUUUGAAAUCAGCUCUUCUAAAAUACAUUAGCUGGUUGCCUUGUGUAAACAUGUCUAUUGGUGUGAUAAUUGUCUACGCCAUAAAUCGUUUACUGUUAAAGCACUGCUUCUAAUCGUCUGUUCACUCAGACAUAUUAUAAUAACUUGACCUCAAAUCAGGUAGGAUUACCCGCUGAACUUAAGCAUAUCAAUAAGCGGAGGCU